GCUAGAAUAGAAGCUGCAUCUAUCGCUUGCGCGGGCGGCGGACGGAGUCCAUCUCAUCUCGCCUCGCCGCGCCGCAAUUUCCUCUCCCAGCUCCCAAUAAUUUAUUGGUUUGUUCGAUCGAUCGAUCGCUCGCUCGCCGUAGCCAGGUGAGGUGUUCUCGAAUCGAUUGAUCGGCCUCUUCAACAAGAGAAGAUCUAGAGCGAGGAAAUUAAGAUUAAGAUUAAGAUUUCGGAGGAUAUUAAUUAAUUAAUUAAUUAUGCCUCGAGCUGGGGAUCGAGAUUCGGAUCCGUUUGCUAGAGUGAUUUUUGAGUUGGGUUGGAUUGGUGUCAUGAUCGCAACAGGCUACGUUCAACGGGAUAUCAUGGAGAAUGACUAUGAGAGAGUAUCGCUUAGCCGCUCUGAGUUGUUCAAGCUUGGCACCUUGUACUACGCUGGAUGCGCUGGGCUGGGAGGUAACCUCUUCUACUGGUUUAUGGAUGUCAUCGACUCACCCGGUGCCCGCCCCUGGAUCAAUACACGGAGGUAGCACUAGGUUGUAUAUAUAUAUUCAAUUAAUUAUGCAUCAAAAGAGACCAUUCAUAGCAAUUACUAAUGCAUGAGUAGUAUUCACGUA